rnacentral:rRNA from 1 species
GAUGAACGCUGGCGGCGUGCCUAACACAUGCAAGUCGAACGGAGUCCAGCCUUUAAGACCUUCGGGUCAAAGAGGGGAAGACUGAGUGGCGGACGGGUGAGUAACACGUGGGCAACCUGGCUCAUAGAGGGGGAUAACAGAGAGAAAUUUCUGCUAAUACCGCAUAAGCACACACUGCCGCAUGGCAGAGGGUGAAAAGAGAAUCGCUAUGAGAUGGACCCGCGUCUGAUUAGCCAGUUGGCAGGGUAAGAGCCUACCAAAGCGACGAUCAGUAGCCGAUCUGAGAGGAUGAGCGGCCACAUUGGGACUGAGACACGGCCCAAACUCCUACGGGAGGGAGCAGUGGGGGAUAUUGCACAAUGGGGGGAACCCUGAUGCAGCGACGCCGCGUGAGUGAAGAAGUAAUUCGGUAUGUAAAGCUCUAUCAGCAGGGAAGAUAAUGACGGUACGUGAAUAAGAAGCCCCGGCUAACUACGUG